rnacentral:rRNA from 1 species
UACGAAGGGGGCUAGCGUUGCUCGGAAUCACUGGGCGUAAAGCGCACGUAGGCGGCUUGUUAAGUCAGGGGUGAAAUCCUGGAGCUCAACUCCAGAACUGCCUUUGAUACUGGCGAGCUUGAGUCCGGGAGAGGUGAGUGGAACUGCGAGUGUAGAGGUGAAAUUCGUAGAUAUUAGGAAGAACACCAGUGGCGAAGGCGGCUAACUGGUCCAGUACUGACGCUGAGGUGCGAAAGCGUGGGGAGCAAACAGG